rnacentral:rRNA from 1 species
UAUUGCACAAUGGGCGCAAGCCUGGAAUGCAGCCAUGCCGCGUGUAUGAAGAAGGCCUUCGGGUUGUAAAGGUAUUUCAGCAGUGAGGAAGGUGGAGUCGUUAAUAGCGGCCUCAUUUUGACGUUAGCUGCAGAAGAAGCACCGGCUAACUCCGUGCCAGCAGCCGCGGUAAUACGGAGGGUGCGAGCGUUUAAUCGGAAUUACUGGGCGUAAAGCGCAUGCAGGUGGUUUGUUAAGUCAGAUGUGAAAGCCCCGGGGCUCAACCUCGGAAUUGCAUUUGAAACUGGCAGACUAGAGUACUGUAGAGGGGGUAGAAUUUCAGGUGUAGCGGUGAAAAUGCGUAGAGAUCUGAAGGAAUACCGGUGGCGAAGGCGGCCCCCCUGGACAGAUACUGACACUCAGAUGCGAAAGCGUGGGGAGCAAACAGGAUUAGAUACCCUGGUAG